rnacentral:rRNA from 1 species
CCUACGGGUGGCAGCAGUGAGGAAUAUUGGUCAAUGUGCGAGAGCCUGAACCAGCCAAGUCGCGUGAGGGAGUACUGCCCUAUGGGUUGUAAACCUCUUUUGUCGGGGAGCAAAAGCUGGACGUGUCCGGCUGUGAGAGUACCCGAAGAAAAAGCAUCGGCUAACUCCGUGCCAGCAGCCGCGGUAAUACGGAGGAUGCGAGCGUUAUCCGGAUUUAGUGGGUUUAAAGGGUGCGCAGGCGGAUUUUUAAGUCAGCGGUCAAAUCGUGGGGCUCAACCCCAUCCAGCCGUUGAAACUGGGGGUCUAGAGUGUGAGAGAGGUAUGCGGAAUGCGUGGUGUAGCGGUGAAAUGCAUAGAUAUCACGCAGAACCCCGAUUGCGAAGGCAGCAUGCCGGUGCACAACUGACGCUCAGGCACGAAAGCGUGGGUAUCGAACAGGAUGAGAUACCCUGGUAGUC